UUUUUUAAGARRAUUAAUUUARAAUAAAACCUGCUCAAUGAAACAUUAAAUAGCCGCAGAAUUCUGUGCUAAGGUAGCAUAAUCAUUAGCUUUCUAAUUAAAAGAUAGAAUGAAUGGUUAAACGAGAUACUAACUGUUUCUAUACGCAUAAUGAAAUUAUAAUAAAAGUAAAAAUCCUUUUAAAGAAAAGAAAGACGAUAAGACCCUAAAAACUUAUAAUUCAAUUAUUUAGCUGGGGCGGCAUAUUAAAUAUACCUUAGUUAUUUUAAUUAAACAAAACAAAUAAAAUUUUAUUAGAAAAGUUACUUUAGGGAUAACAGCGCUACUUUUUUUUAAAGAUCUAAUAAAAAAAAAUCCUACGACCUCGAUGUUGAAUUAUUAAUCUUUUUGAUGCAAAAAUCAAAAAAGAAAGUCUGUUCGACUUAUAAUUAUUU
rnacentral:rRNA from 1 species